rnacentral:rRNA from 1 species
AGGGUUUGAUCCUGGCUCAGAACGAACGCUGGCGGCAUGCCUAACACAUGCAAGUCGAACGAACCCUUCGGGGUUAGUGGCGCACGGGUGCGUAACGCGUGGGAACCUGCCUUUAGGUUCGGAAUAACAGUUAGAAAUGACUGCUAAUACCGGAUAAUGUCUUCGGACCAAAGAUUUAUUGCCUUUAGAUGGGCCCGCGUUGGAUUAGAUAGUUGGUGGGGUAAUGGCCUACCAAGUCGACGAUCCAUAGCUGGUCUGAGAGGAUGAUCAGCCACACUGGGACUGAGACACGGCCCAGACUCCUACGGGAGGCAGCAGUGGGGAAUAUUGGACAAUGGGCGAAAGCCUGAUCCAGCAAUGCCGCGUGAGUGAUGAAGGCCUUAGGGUUGUAAAGCUCUUUUACCAGGGAUGAUAAUGACAGUACCUGGAGAAUAAGCUCCGGCUAACUCCGUGCCAGCAGCCGCGGUAAUACGGAGGGAGCUAGCGUUGUUCGGAAUUACUGGGCGUAAAGCGCACGUAGGCGGCUUUUCAAGUCAGGGGUGAAAUCCCGGGGCUCAACCCCGGAACUGCCCUUGAAACUGGAUGGCUAGAAUACUGGAGAGG